rnacentral:rRNA from 1 species
AAAUCAACCGAGAUUCCCCCAGUAGCGGCGAGCGAACGGGGAGCAGCCCAGAGUCUGAAUCAGCUUGUGUGUUAGUGGAACGGUCUGGAAAGUCCGACGGUACAGGGUGAUAGUCCCGUACACCAAAAUGCACAGGCUGUGAACUCGAAGAGUAGGGCGGGACACGUGGUAUCCUGUCUGAAUAUGGGGGGACCAUCCUCCAAGGCUAAAUACUCCUGACUGACCGAUAGUGAACCAGUACCGUGAGGGAAAGGCGAAAAGAACCCCGGCGAGGGGAGUGAAAAAGAACCUGAAACCGUGUACGUACAAGCAGUGGGAGCACCUUCGGGUGUGACUGCGUACCUUUUGUAUAAUGGGUCAGCGACUUAUAUUCUGUAGCAAGGUUAACCGUAUAGGGGAGCCGCAGGGAAACCGAGUCUUAACUGGGCGUUAAGUUGCAGGGUAUAGACCCGAAACCCGGUGAUCUAGCCAUGGGCAGGUUGAAGGUUGGGUAACACUAACUGGAGGACCGAACCGACUAAUGUUGAAAAAUUAGCGGAUGACUUGUGGCUGGGGGUGAAAGGCCAAUCAAACCGGGAGAUAGCUGGUUCUCCCCGAAAGCUAUUUAGGUAGCGCCUCGUGAA